rnacentral:rRNA from 1 species
CCGGUAAACGGCGGCCGUAACUAUAACGGUCCUAAGGUAGCGAAAUUCCUUGUCGGGUAAGUUCCGACCUGCACGAAUGGCGUAAUGAUGGCCAGGCUGUCUCCACCCGAGACUCAGUGAAAUUGAACUCGCUGUGAAGAUGCAGUGUACCCGCGGCAAGACGGAAAGACCCCGUGAACCUUUACUAUAGCUUGACACUGAACAUUGAGCCUUGAUGUGUAGGAUAGGUGGGAGGCUUUGAAGUGUGGACGCCAGUCUGCAUGGAGCCGACCUUGAAAUACCACCCUUUAAUGUUUGAUGUUCUAACGUUGGCCCCUGAUCGGGGUUGCGGACAGUGUCUGGUGGGUAGUUUGACUGGGGCGGUCUCCUCCUAAAGAGUAACGGAGGAGCACGAAGGUUGGCUAAUCCUGGUCGGACAUCAGGAGGUUAGUGCAAUGGCAUAAGCCAGCUUGACUGCGAGCGUGACGGCGCGAGCAGGUGCGAAAGCAGGUCAUAGUGAUCCGGUGGUUCUGAAUGGAAGGGCCAUCGCUCAACGGAUAAAAGGUACUCCGGGGAUAACAGGCUGAUACCGCCCAAGAGUUCAUAUCGACGGCGGUGUUUGGCACCUCGAUGUCGGCUCAUCACAUCCUGGGGCUGAAGUAGGUCCCAAGGGUAUGGCUGUUCGCCAUUUAAAGUGGUACGCGAGCUGGGUUUAGAACGUCGUGAGACAGUUCGGUCCCUAUCUGCCGUGGGCGCUGGAGAACUGAGGGGGGCUGCUCCUAGUACGAGAGGACCGGAGUGGACGCAUCACUGGUGUUCGGGUUGUCAUGCCAAU